UAUCGGAGUUAGGGAUAGUUCUCUAUCAAAAACUUCAUUGCUUUUGGAAUCUUCUCUUCUCCCUGACUGUCUAGCUUUCAUUUUGAUGACGGUUAGCAAGCUGGACAAACUGAACAUAGUAGAAAUGUAUCAUUUCUACACGGUUUCCAUUUGACACAUCUCUCAUCAACUCUGAUUCGCUGGCUCUUCUGAUUCGCUGUCCCUUCUGAUUCGCUGGCUCUUCUGAUUCGCUGGGUUUUCUGAUUCGCUGGGUUUUCUGAUUCGCUGGGUUUUCUGAUUCGCUGGCUCUUCUGAUUCCCUGGCUCUUCUGAUUCGCUGGGUUUUUCUGAUUCGCUGGCUCUCCUGAUUCGCUGGCUCUUCUGAUUCCCUGGCUCUUCUGAUUCGCUGGCUCUUCUGAUUCGCUGGUUCUUCUGAUUCGCUGGCUCUUCUGAUUCGCUGGCUCUUCUGAUUCGCUGGCUCAUGUUCUAUUGAGGCUCAAAGUCAGAAUGUCUCCUUCUAGAGAGAAUAAAAUUCUAUGGUACUCCAAUAUCCUUUUACAGGUGGUGUCCCUCCCUAAACUGAUGGAAGUAGUGGUUCCAGCCCCGUCAUUGGCUACCAGCUUCCCCUGUAAGCAGUGUGGAAAGAUGUUCUACAAGAUAAAGAGUCGUAACGCCCAUAUGAAGAUCCAUCGGCAGCAGCAGGACGACUGGAGACACCCAGGCCUCGGCCUCAACCCAGCCCAGAACCUCACCUCCAACCUGGGCACCAAUUUACCCCAUUGCCAGGCUUCAGGUCGGGCCUACCUCCCAGGCCCCAUCAACAACAACAGCAUUCACCAUAUUGGUGGUGCUCACACCAUCAUCAGCGACAUCAGCGUUCCGAACACCAAUACCGUAACCAAUAGCAACAGUGUCACUGUCAAUGACUCCACCUCUAAUCAGAGGGGACCUGCUCCCCUCCUCUCUCUCCACCACUCGUGGGACUCGUUUCAGGUGAACUCUGACCCUGCGGCGGUAUUCUUCUGUGACCCGGAAGUGAAAGCUGUGCUCGGAGUCAUGGGGGAGGUGUGAAAGGUCAAAUCUUGUGGAAUUAGUAUCAGAGAUACUGUAUAUAAUGAUGAGAUGGUCUUGUCUCUGCCCUAACAAUGGGAGUCAUUGUCGCGAAGACAGAAAGGCAGGCGAGAGGAGGCGAGAUCAGAUGGGAAUAUUCUAGCCAAUGAGAGGGCAGAUACGAUCAGGUGGGAAUAUUCUAGCCAAUGAGAGGGCAGAUACAACUGUGAACAAUAGACACAACUCCAACAUAAAAGGUUUUCUUAAAGUUGCCGAGAUGUCUCGUGCAUCCACUUUUAUAUCAGUACCUUCGUAACAACCUAAACAUGAACAAAACUUCUAUUCGAUCAAAUAAGCCUUACUUAACAAAUUAACAACACUAUCUCAUAAACCUUGAUACAAAAAAAUCCCCAUUUUGGUCUGCUUAUCGCUAUAUUCUCUCUGUCAGAUUUUGACGGGAGUGGAGCCUCUCACUUCGCCUCUUCCUCUCUGGUAGUAUUCUAGAAUCAGAACAGACAGACAUAAUUCACUUCCUUUCUCUACUGCUUGGUUUUGGUACGGUCAAAGACGUAAAUAAAGAGUUUUUGUACAUUUGUACAGUUUUUGUAUUUGUAUUUAAAUACUUUGAGUUGCUUUGCGUUUCAUAAAAAUAAAAAAUAAAUAAAAAUAAAUAUAUAUAUAUAUAUAAAUGUGUGUUUUUGUAUCUUACUCCAUUUCCCUCACACACACACAUGAACACACUCAACCGUCAGAGGGUAGAUAUUGACAUAGACAGACUAAUGUUGACAAGGGGGUGCACAUUCUGUCUCUACUGCUCUCUAAGUGGCUAUGGACCUCGACGAUGUUGUGUAAG
rnacentral:lncRNA from 1 species